UUCACAACAUGUUCAAGUCUCUUUCAUUUAAAAAAAAAAAAAUGUUCAAGUUCAAGAAAAAUCAGAGUUCUCCUAAUUCUAAUCAAAUUAGGAAACAUAUUACUGCCCGAUACAAUCAAAUUAGGAAACAUGAAAAAGCCCUAUAAAAAGGUUCAGGCCUCGUUACUACCUUCCUCAAUACCACCAAAUUUUCACCAAAAAAUUUUCAAUGACUUCGCUAACGCUGCUUCUGCUGUUUUCUUUGUUGUGUUUUGUUCCUUGUUUCCUCAAGAACGGUAUCCCACCGCCCCCUCAGUCUCAUGACCACAAAUUUUUACAUUCAUGAAGUUCUUCUACAAAGAUUGUAUCGUUUUUCAUGAUUGCGGCAAAAGCAAAGUUCUUGAGAAGGCACUCUUCUUUAUGGAUCAACCUGGCAUCAACGACUACAAGCACGCCUUCUUCCAUGGAAAAUCUAUUUCAGCGGUGUCACAUCUUGGGCCUGAAGUUGUCGAGACAGUAAAAGGUUCAGUGACAGGAGCGGAGCUACAGUGUUAAAUGGGGUGGGAAGACUCGUCAAUGUGCCUGGAGCGAGAACUAUUAUUAUUUCUGAAAUUUUGCCCAUCGGAUGUCUCCUGGAUAUCGGACUUUGUUUCCCGAGGGCGAUUCAAUUGGCAAAAACAUAUGACACAGGGGAUUGAAUAUGUUCUCAAAGCUUCACAAUGAUCACCUUUGGCAAGCGAUUUUCGAGUUACAGUUGAAAUACCCUGAUGUCCACAUCAUAUCGGUAGAUUACUACAAAGCAUUCAUGGCUGUUCUUAAAAACCACAAGUGCGGAGAGGAAGAAGGUGCUACGUGUUCUGAUAGGGCUUCAUAUUUACAUUGGGAUGGAUUUCGAUUGACCCCUGAGGCUUUGGAGAGCGUGAUCGAUACCGUGUUCAGCAAGAAAGUAUUUGUAUUCCCAGAAUUCAAGUUUGGAGAAGAAACAAAAGCAGCAAUAACAAGGCAUCAUUCCAAGAUUCAUAGAGGACGACUUAGAGUGGAUUCAGACCAGAACUCCAUUUUUUGUGUAUGCUGGCUAUCUGUUGGAGGUCAUUUCACACACUUUUCACUUUCUAAACCCCGAGUCUACGUGAUGUUGUAGUGUUGCAAUUGUCAUAAUCACUGACAUGGGUGAAGUAGAAGUAUGCCCUGCUUUAUUAGAUCCGUUACAGUCUGAAGAAGGCUUUGGUUUUAGAUUCGAAGUUGGUGCUUUGUGAUUGGAUAUAAAGUUGAUAAUAUAGAUCAAUAAAUUGGCGAGGGACAGAGAAAGCAAUAGAAAGGGCAGGUGAAGCGCCAUGCACUGCAAAAUGGGUGCGUGAUUGUGAUUCCCAAAGGGUCGUACGUGAGUGAGCCUUUUGGAGCCUCACUAGACUGAACUUAAAUGCUAAAUACAUAUCUAAAGAGUAUCUGGGACAAUGGGAUGAAUUUAUGAACUUAAAAUGCUAAAUCUAUAUCUGACAGAAUUCAUCCAUCACAAUAGAGGCAGCGUAUGAACUUAAAUGUUAAAUCGAUAUCUGAUUGAAUGCUAGGCCUUCUGCACCCAUUGGCCCACCAUGUCUCAGGUUGCGUAUCCCUAGGACCGAGUGAGUGAGCCACUUUCGGAGUCUCACGAGUUCCUCCAAUUACUUGAGGACUAUAUUUCUACUGUUAAACCAAGAACUUGGUUGCUUAACUGGAAGUCGACGACUGAAGUCUUUGGAUGACUUUUUCAAAAUAUCCAUUCUUCACUCGCAGCUGGGGUAGGUGAUACCUAAUUCAUGUACGUGUAUUAUACUUGAGCAGUACUCUUUCAUUGGAUUUGAUCCUUUUUUCCCCCUCACAUUUUCUGAAGACAGAGAAAUGGCUACAUUCUAGUUGAUUCGGACUGAUCCAAUGCCCUUCUAUGGAAUAUCUGAGAUUCUGAAAUUUUUUCGAGGAGAUAUAACUAUGUUAAUUCGUCUUUGCAAAUCCAACAUUAUGAAGGCUCACGUAUUCUUAUCUUUAGUUCAACACUUCAAGGCAACCUAUUUGGGUAAGGUGACUUGUCUAUGAUCACAUUGUGAUGGCAUGUCAUGCUAACCCCAACCUCAAGAACAAAAAAGAAAAAAAGAAAAAAUGUUUUUUAACUCCGCCUGUGUGAGUCUUACUGUAACACACAGCCGGUCCUAAGCCCGGACAAAGGAGGAGGGUU